UCCGCGUCUUUCUCUUUUGUCCCAUCCUCCAUUUUGAUGUCAUCGUGGUUUGUAGUAAGAAAAGUUUUGCUGCUGUGUCUUUGAAAUUGAAUUGGUAAUCGUAUAUAAUUCAUAACAAUUGUUUCGGGAAAGCAUUUUUCGUUGUAUUGUUUUGUGAGAAACAACAAAAAUGAGCUACGGAAGACCUCCUCCACGGAUUGAGGGAAUGGUUUCCUUGAAGGUUGAUAAUUUGACCUACCGAACAACGCCAGAGGAUUUGCGUCGUGUUUUCGAGAGAUGUGGCGAAGUAGGUGAUAUUUAUAUUCCGCGCGAUAGAUUUUCUCGAGAGAGCAGAGGAUUUGCAUUUGUGAGGUUUUAUGACAAGCGCGAUGCAGAAGAUGCAUUGGACGCAAUGGAUGGCCGACUUUUGGAUGGAAGGGAGCUUCGAGUCCAAAUGGCUCGAUAUGGAAGACCGUCGUCUCCAUAUCGCCGUCAUAGCCGCAGAAGGAGGUCUCGGUCUCGUUCUCGUCGUCGUUCUCGCACCAGGAGCCGCUCUAGGUCUCGUUCUCGCCAUUCACGCUCAAGGUCUCGCCGCCGUUCAUACACACGUUCUCGCAGCCGUUCCAGGUCACGCUCUGAUAGCAAGAGCUCUCGUGGGAAAUCUCAUUCCCGCAGUAAAUCACCACGUGAAAGCAAAAGCAAGUCACGAUCCAAGUCGAAGUGAACAGGGUGAUGGUGGCUAAGGGAGUGGUUUCAGCACUUAUAUUUAGUGGAAUAAAGACGGAAGCAGACUUCUGCAUUUUUGAAAGGGUGGGCGGUAGUGAUCGAGCGAGAGGCAGUGGCAGAUUGCUGUGUUGGGGUUCGGUGUUGCGGUGGCAGAGUAGCAGUGCAGUUGCGGGGCACAUGGCAGUCAGGGGUAGCGAGAGCAGUUGCGGGUAGCUGAUGGCAGUGCGUGCCGACGUGUGUGUGUGUGGUGGUGGCGAGUAUCAUUCAUUCCCACCGAACCAGUACCAAUUUUAACUAUGAGCAUCCAUGUUUCCCUGUUGAUGUUCCCAGUUUCGGUCUUGAAACGUGCCGUAAUGUUCCUUAUUUAUACCAGCCUGCGUCUCCAGUCAACUGGUACGUUGGUGCUUUCAGAGAGGACCCCCCCCCCAUUAAACAUCGCAAAUUGCACCUAUUUUAUGUGGCUCAUUUCACUACUUUAUAAAGUUUUCCCUUCUGUUACAUAUUCUUUGGGAUUUGGUUGACCCUUCUGUUUUAUUUAUUAAAUCUUAACAUUUUAGGCCCUCUGUUUCCUGGCGUAGUAAACCGUUAAUUCGUUUGAAGGCAAUGAGUCCCUGGGGCCCCUUGCAUUUUUCAUUUUUCGUCUGCAAGUAAACCAAACCACCUUUAUUCGUCAGUAAGCCAUUCUUGAUUUUAUUCCCUGCUUUUGUCUUUGCAUGGAUAUAAUUUUGGCUGCCACCAUCCCUAAUAUGUCGGAAUAUUUUACUGUUGAAGAGUUGCAUCUCCGAGCUGCUGAUUGCAGUCCAUAAGCAGAAGGUAGGAUAGGUGUCGUCACUGAUCAGCGCAUCUACUAAUACUGCAUUCGUGUACUGUUAUACUCUUGUGGGAGCUGGUAAAUAUGUUUUCUGUAAAGUGGAAAUUACCAAAUUGCAAUAUGCUUACAGUUUUCUUCUCAGUCGUACAAAGUGCAGGUAAGUGGGUGAUUGGAGUAUGACAUUGUUUUAAAUUGCUUUACUUAUGUUUAUAUUUUUCUAAUUGCAGUUGAUGUUUAUUACUUCUGGCCUUGUGUAGUGAGGAUGCCAAACUGGCAGAUGUAAUGACACCUGGCUCCAACUCAUUCACUAAGGACAGAAUUAUUGUGUGCAGCGAUUGCCAUUAGCAAGUGUAUAAGCUCCAAUCCAGGUGGAGACAUGAAAACAUUUCUUGCUCUCCCCUUUGGUUGUAAUGCAAAGCUGUAGUGAGCUUCCCAUUUGUCCUAUGUGUUAUUACUUUUUACAGAGAAAAAGUAUUUGUAAGUUCAUAUAAUGAUUUCAAGGUAUAAUUUGGCUUACAGUUUGAACAUGCGCAUAGAGUUGUCCCUAAAGGUUGAUCAUCGCUAUUAAAAUUGUAUUGGCAGUCUUUUUCAAGGGUGAAUGUAAGUUACAUUGCUUGUUUAUAUUAUGUGUAGUUUAGCCCAGGCAUAUAUAUACAUAUACCACUUUAAAUUGGCUUGUGUUUUGUUUAACUUUUGAAAUCUCUUAACCUUGCAUGUUGUGCAGUGUUGAAUAUUGUUUAUCUUUGAAAAACACUUGGUGACUUUUUUCUCUCUUUUUCUUCUUCCAAAAUCAAUCACAUAUAUUUUGAUUCAGCAAAAUACAUUAAAAAGAACAAAGACCGACUUACAUAACAUUCUUAAAAUUUGGCUGAAGGAACCUUCACACUCCUUUGACUUUCAAAGUUCAGCAUUGCUAUUUCUUAUUUAAUCAUACAUCACAAUGCUUUUGUAGUAAAUAUCUAUGAAGGAACAUCCCACUAAUUGUAUAUGUCCAAUAUAUCCUCAUAUUUCUGAAGCCCUUUUCAAUAUGUAACUAAAAAUUUUUUACCUUGUGUAAUCAGCAAGUGCUGCUUUGUCAAGAACUGGCAUCUGAAUCAAAUCAAACUUUCUUUAUUUUGAUGAUGGGUCAUGUUUAGUUAUACAGGCUGCUGCUCUCAUUCACUGUGGUACAGUGUUCACACAUUUUAAUAUAGCUUCAGUAAUUUUACCCCUUUUGGAAAACUGCAAAUUUGUACUUUAAUUAUACUGCAUCCUAGCACAACUAGACUGUAAUCUUCAAGUGUGAAGAUCACCAAAAUGUGACAUCUAUUCAUGCCAGACAUGCAUGAAUUUUUGCACAUGACCAAGAGGCACACGUACGUACACUUAGCCUCUCACUACUUUCAUCAUAUUCAUAAAUUGUUUCUGAAAGAUCAGUGCUCGGAACAUGGUAAAGUAAAUCAGCACAAAAUCAUUCAUUAUGAUGGUGAACAGGUUCCUGAAAUGCCUCUGAUUCACAGUAUACCGGAAGGGCUUGUACAUUAAGAGUGUUUUGAAAUGGUUGACACAUUCACUGCUUUCCUGAAAAUCCACCAUUCUUUCAAAAGGUUCUACAUUUUGAACAGUGCUGGUUUUAUCUGCAUAAGCUGCUGAAUUUAUAAGAUGUUCAAAUUCCACUGGCUGAGUGUUACUGUCCUGACUACAAUGUGCCAAAUCACUCAUUUCUGCUCUAGUAAUGUGGAUGCAAAAUGUAUAGCACAGUAUGACUCAAUAUCUAUCAACUAGGUGUUUUUCAAAGUGGUGUUUGCAUAACUAUAUAAAGUGUAAACAGUUUUCAUGUAUGCAUGUUUUUAUAUAUUUCAGAUAACCCAGGAAAGUGUUCUCUGACUUUGAACUAUAUGUAGUAUUAGUAAAGCUUCUCACAAACAUCAGAGCAAUUGUGUUGAAAGAAGCAUUAGACAGUCUUUUCUUUGAGUAUUCUUGACCUUUUUUAGAUGGGAAUAAGGAAUUCAAUUUGUUCUGUGACAUGCAACAGUUCUGGUUUGUUACAUUGCACAAUGCUGAGAAAGUUUCAAAGUAUACCUGGACCUAUACUGAUCUAUAUUUAUUAAACUGACCAUAGGCCAAACGCUGGUGUGUAACUUUUCAUUUGCCAAAGCUGGUAAAAUGGGUACAGAUCAUUUAUCACUUGCUAAAUAUUUGAUUUGAAAUAAUCAUUGAUGUAUACAGACAGAGGAUGUUGCACUGUGUAUACUUGCAGCAGCUGAUCAUCGGAAGGUGGAUGAAGCGUUUUGUGGGCCCAAGACCACGACAAGGUUUUUAUGGUAUGAGUUGCAUUGCUUUGCUGCCAGAAUUAUGGCACAAUGGAGGUUUAUCUCAUUAAAUUUGUAAUUUAUUUCCUGUGGGUUAGAGAACAAUGUGAAAAUUGCAACAAAAGUUUAUUUACUCCGAGUUGUGGAAGGGUGCAGCUUUGAAAACAUUGAUACUUGGUGUACCUGCAUUUUUGUGUUCAAUCUUGGUCAUAGAAAGUUUUUCUGUAUUGCUAGAAUAAAUUUACAUUUUUAUUUUAAUCAAAUGUAUGAUGUCAGGGUACGUAAACAUCAAGAAGCUAAGUAGGAUUUGAGGUUUUCACAUUACAACCCAGAAGAUUGCAAUUAUCAAGAACCUACAUUCCAAGAACUUCCGACUAGUGUUUUUUUGUUACCAUUUUUAGUAAAUAAAAUUUAAUUUGCUAGGAAA